AAAAUACCAAACAUAGUUUUAUUUCUUAAAAUUUUUUUUAUUUACUUAACUAAGAUUAGUUAAUAAUUUGAUAAGAUUUUUAAUUUUGUCUUGGUCCAAUAAGAAAAUUUGUAGGUCCAAAUUUGGAGCCCACUUCUUCCAUGACCCAAAAAGCCCAAUACACAAGACUAAAAAAAAAUCCUAGUCUCUACACUUCAUCUUCCUCAACAAUACAACAUAAAAAAAAUCCUAGAAAGCUAGGAGGAGAGAAGACCAUCCAUGGCUGCCAUGAAUCCAUCUUGAACGCUACCCAAAACACCUUCUUCCUCCUUUGAACACCAUCAUUUUAUCCCCAAAAUGCAGCCAAAUCCAGUAGACAAAAAUUGCUGAAAAAACCAAUGCAAAAUCCCAGCGAAACACCUCAUUUUUCAACUCCAAAAAGCCAUAAAAACACAGCUGAAAAAUCAGCUGUAAAUUCGUCCAAAAACACACCUAAACUCCAAUCAAAAGCAGCCUAAAAACUGUCCUAAAUUCCAGCCAAACUCGACCAAAAACCUGCCAAAUCAGCCCAAAAUUUGGAAAAAUGGAAAUAAAAAACGCAGCAAUAACCCACCCCUAUUUCACCCAAAAUCAAUAUUCCAAACCCAGCAAAAACAGCCACGUAUCGUACCCUUUUCAUCCUCUAAUCAAACGGAACAAAACAGUCCCAUAAAUGACUCCAAAAUCACAGCAAAACCGAGCCAGAAAACCAGCAAAAUAACAGUCCAUUUUAAACCCCCAAAAGCCAAAACAGCAACUCCAAAAUGCUGCCCGCUUGACCGGGAAAAGCCUCUCUUUCGACGCCAGAACAGAGGCUGCCGGCGAAUUCGAGCUCAUCUCUUGAGGUCGCGUUCGAGUCACUUGAGGUUCGAAGUCUUCCGGGCAUUUGAGAUAAAGUUCUAGUUUAAGUAUUUUAUGUUCUAGGAGUACAUUCGACUUAGAUCUAAUUAACGUCGAAAGAGUCCUUGCUUUAAUUGAGGUUCAAUUCUUCAAUCCCUUACUCAUUUUAUCUAGCUGAAUGUUAAUUGCUUGUUUGGUGAUUUAAUUCUGUGAUUUGUCUAGCUAUUGUCUCCG
rnacentral:lncRNA from 1 species